rnacentral:lncRNA from 1 species
AGAUAGUGAUUCUCUUUUUUUCAAUAUUGAAGAGAGAGAAUGAUAUUUUAUUUGAAGAACUUCAUUUAAGUAGUAUUUUGGUACUAUUUUUAUUGAUAUAACUCUUCAAAUGAGAUGUGAAAUCUUAUUUAAAUAGUCUUUUGUUGAUAUUCUUAGGUAACGAGAAAGACUAGAUGACUAUAAAAAAAAUGUUAUGAGAAAUUAAAACCAACAAAAUGAAAAUGAAAAGAAAGUCAAAGAAAAACAACGGGAGUUAAUUAGGACGCGGCCAGAAGUGGUGAGAAUGUGAAGAAAAAGAUAAAAAUAAGAGUAAUGAGAAUUAUCGAUAAAUAAUGUGAAAAAGAUGAAAAUUUAAGAGAAUAAUACAAGAAGUUAGGAUAUGUUAUAAGAAAUUAGAAACGAGAUGAAAGAAUGUGGAUGAAAAAAAAAAGUAAUUAGAAACGACGAGAAUGAGACAAAAAAAAAAGGAGAAAAUAAGAAUGUGACGGUAAGUGAUGAAUCAUAACAAUAAUAAAUAAUAAUAAAUUAAUUAAAAAAUGACGAGAAAAUUAAAGUGGAAUGAUAUCAUCAAAAUUAAAAAUUAACUAAUGAAAAUGAAACGUGAUUAAAAAAAAAAUUGAGCACACUAAAUAAAAAUGUUAUUUGAUAGGCAUAUCUUGUGGUGGAGGUGUACUCGGGGAGUAACAUUUGGUUGAAUGAAACAUAGCUAAAGAAUCCCCAUCUUCGAGAAUAAAAGUGUAUACUAUUUGAUGUAGGGAUGGCAAUGGGGAGGGGAGGGGAGGGGAACGAUCUCCCCGUACCCACCCCCGAUAUUUUGUGUAUGUUCCUGUUCCCUCCCCGUCCCCGUCAGAAUUACUUGAGAGAAUCCUCAUCCCCUCCCCGAAUAAUAACAGGGGAUCCCCGAGGGUCCCCGAUCCCCGAAUAACUAAUACAUUUUUUUUUUCAAUUUUGAGUUAAUCAUAUUAAAAUAAAAAAUUCAAAUAAAAGUAAAGUUCGAAAUAUAUCUUACAUUAAUAUCUAUUACAAAAGUCAAAUACAUUAAAUUAGUAAGUAACGCAACAUGAAAGGAAUACAAACUUCUUUUACAAACUAUCAUGAACAAAUUAAUAGUUUAAUACAAAAUUGUUACAAAUAAAAUCGAAUUUAGAUUCAAAAUUAACUUUUUCAAUGGUGGCGUGAGCACUUUAUAAAUGUGGACUAUUCCCUUUACAACACAAUAGUUAAAUCGGAGCAAAUCAAAAGCAAAUAUUAGAUUAGAUUAGAUAUUAAAAUUGUGAUUCGCUGUGGGCAAUUAUAACAUCUAAAAAUAAAUAAAAAAUAGAUUUAAGUUUAAAAUA